UAGUAUUAGUCUGUAUUAGUCUAGUAUCAGUAUUAGUCUGUAUUAGUAUUAGUCUGUAUUAGUAUUAGUCUGUAUUAGUCUAGUAUUAGUCUGUAUUAGUCUUGUAUUAGUGUUAGUCUGUAUUAGUAUUAGUCUGAAUUAGUAUUAGUCUGAACUAGCCUUGUAUCAGUAUUAUUCUGUAUUAGUAUUAGUCUGUAUUAGUCUAGUAUCAGUAUUAGUCUGUAUUAGUAUUAGUCUGUAUUAGUAUUAUAUUAGUCUGUAUUAGUCUAGUAUCAGUAUUAGUCUGUAUUAGUAUUAGUCUGUAUUAGUAUUAGUCUGUAUUAGUAUUAGUCUGUAUUAGUAUUAGUCUGUAUUAGUAUUAGUCUGAACUAGCCUUGUAUCAGUAUUAUUCUGUAUUAGUAUUAGUCUGUAUUAGUCUAUAUUAGUCUUGUAUUAGUCUGAAUUAGCAUUAGUCUGUAUUAGUAUUAGUCUGUAUUCGUAUUAGUAUAGUAUCAGUAUUACAAGUGUAAUGGAUUGAAUUAGAAUAUGUACAUAAAAAUAUAUGCAGCCACUCAAUGUUAGUGGUGGAUGUUUAACAGUCUGAUGGCCUUGAGAUAGGAGCUGUUUUUCAGUCUCUCGGUCCCAGCUUUGAUGCACCUGUACUGACCUCACCUUCUGGAUGAUAGCGGGGUGAACAGGCAGUGGCUCGGGUGGUUGAUGUCCUUGAUGAUCUUUAUGGCCUUCCUAUGACAUCAGGUGGUGUAGGUGUCCUGGAGGGCAGGUAGUUUGCCCCCGGUGAUGCGUUGUGCAGACCUCACUACCCUCUGGAGAGCCUUAUGGUUGUGGACAGAGCAGUUGCCAUACCAGGCGGUGAUACAGCCCGACAGGAUGCUCUCGAUUGUGCAUCUGUAAAAGUUUGUGAGUGUUUUUGGUGACAAGCCAAAUCUUCAGCCCCCUGAGGUUGAAGAGGCGCCGCUGCGCCUUCUUCACGACGCUGUCUGUGUGGGUGGACCAAUUCAGUUUGUCCGUGAUGUGUACCCCGAGGGACUUAAAACUUUUAACCCUCUCCACUACUGUCCCCUCGAUGUGGAUAGGGGGUGCUCCCUCUGC
ensembl:lncRNA